rnacentral:rRNA from 1 species
AUUGAACGCUGGCGGCAGGCCUAACACAUGCAAGUCGAGCGCGCGGCGGACGGGUGAGUAAUGUCUGGGAAACUGCCUGAUGGAGGGGGAUAACUACUGGAAACGGUAGCUAAUACCGCAUACCAUCAGAUGUUCCCAGGUUGGAUUGGCGAGUAGGUGGGGAAAUGGCUCACCGAGGCGACGAUCUCUAGCUGGUCUGAGAGGAUGACCAGACACACUGGAACUGAGACACGGACCAGACUCCGACGGGAGGCAGCAGUGGGGAAUAUUGCAAAAUGGGCGCAAGCCUGAUGCAGCCAUGCCGCGUGUGUGAAGAAGGCCUUCGGGUUGUAAAGCACUUUCAGCGGGGAGGCGUUACCCGCAGAAGAAGCACCGGCUAACUCCGUGCCAGCAGCCGCGGUAAUAC